AAAAUAUUGUGCACAAACAAAAAAAAUCUCGGCAAAUAAAAAACAAAUCUGAAAAGGAAAGUGUGACUAAAAAAACUCUUUUGACCUAAAUUUCUUUUACACCUCCGCUUUCUGAAUCAAUUGGGCAACAACAAAGGACUGCAAGACCUGAUGAUUUUCGAGCUCUUCACCACCAGUACAUCCGGUGAUAGUACCUUCUGAUGACGAUUUCACUCUACCCAAGCCCCAAGGUUACAUUGUCGUCUACCUAUCAAAUCCCUAAUCAAGAGUCUCUUCAGAUUCAUUGUGUCGAUGUGAUUAUAUAAUCGAGUUUCAUCUUCGAUUAUUUCAUGGGUAAGAGAUCUCGUUAUCGUCUUCUUUUUCAUUAAGUUUCGUGAGAUAACCCCAAGCAAGUAUAGAUCACUCAAGUAAUUUAAAAUUGAAACAUGAAUUUUCCUUAAAAGAUGUGCUUUGGUUUUUGGCGAGUCUAAGAAGAUUCUGAAGUUCAUGCAAAACUGAAAUUUGUUUCAUUAAUUAUUAUGCUGUUUGUCCACUUGUUGAUUUCGUAGCUGCAUUGCCAUUUUGAAUUAUCAUUAGUAUCUAGUUCGGUUCUGGGAUUAACAUUUACUAAUUUAUUGUUCCAUUUUGUUGGAGCUGUUGAGCUCUCGGUAAUGCAGAAAAUGAUAUGAGGCUUCUGAGACCUCACUCUCUGGGUACUAUGAGCUAAUCAUCUUCAAUGUUUUCGAAGUCGUCAUCCCUACCAAAUAAAAAAAGCAUCAGGAACUUGCAGGAUAAUUUUUUUGGAAACAUCUUAAAGAAGGAUAUGGCAAGAUGCUCUCCAUAUGAUCCUAAAAUUACCAAGGUCAAAAGGACUUGAGCUCGGAAACAUGUGUGUGAAACCAUCGGUGGCCGCCAUGACUUAUUUUAAGGUAAAUUUCUAUUCUGUAUAUUCGUAGUUUGAUGUGUUUGAAAAUUACUUUUUAUGCUAUGCUUUUUAUAGCAGUUGAAGUAGGGUUUGUGGGAAAUGAAGAAUAUUGGAUGCAAUCAAUAUAAGAUUUUCUGUUAUACGAUAUACCAUAGUAAAAUUAGGGAUUGGAUACAACUGUUUCCAUCUCUAGCUGUAAUUAUUGAUAUAAAGUUUUUUUUUCUGCUUUUGUACUCCCCAACUAAUAGUGUAGACUAUCUACUAUUAUGAAAUAUGCCCUUCUACUAUUAUGAAA